GACGUAGGAUGCAAGCGUUGUCCGGAUUUAUUGGGCGUAAAGAGUUCGUAGGUGGCAUACAAAGUCUGGUGUUAAAUCCCGGGGCUCAACUCCGGAUCGGCACUGGAUACUUGUAAGCUAGAGUACGGUAGAGGCAAGGGGAAUUCCCAGUGUAGCGGUGAAAUGCGUAGAUAUUGGGAGGAACACCGGUGGCGUAAGCGCCUUGCUGGGCCGUUACUGACGCUGAGGAACGAAAGCCAGGGGAGCAAAUGGG
rnacentral:rRNA from 1 species